rnacentral:rRNA from 1 species
CAGCCGUAAACUAUGCGCGUUAGGUGUACUGGUGACCACGAGUCACCGGGGUGCCGAAGGGAAACCGUGAAACGUGCCGCCUGGGAAGUACGGUCGCAAGGCUGAAACUUAAAGGAAUUGGCGGGGGAGCACCGCAACGGGAGGAGCGUGCGGUUUAAUUGGAUUCAACACCGUAAACUCACCAGGGAAGACUGUUACAUGAAGGCCGAGAUGAAGACUCUGCUAGAUUUUUCAGAGAGGAGGUGCAUGGCGUCAGUGACU